rnacentral:rRNA from 1 species
AGGUGCUGCACGGCUGUCGUCAGCUCGUGUCGUGAGAUGUUGGGUUAAGUCCCGCAACGAGCGCAACCCUCGUCACUAGUUACUAACGGUUCGGCCGAGGACUCUAGUGAGACUGCCUUCGUAAGGAGGAGGAAGGUGAGGACGACGUCAAGUCAUCAUGGCCCUUACGGCUAGGGCAACACACGUGCUACAAUGGUUGGGACAGUGAGACGCAAUACCGCGAGGUGGAGCAAAUCUAUAAACCCAAUCUCAGUUCGGAUUGUUCUCUGCAACUCGAGAACAUGAAGCUGGAAUCACUAGUAAUCGUAGAUCAGCUAUGCUACGGUGAAUACGUUCCCGGGUCUUGUACUCACCGCCCGUCACACCAUGGGAGUUGAUUUCACCCGAAGCGGGGAAGCUAAAUUGGCUACCCUCCACGGUAGAAUUAGCGACUGGGGUGAAGUCGUAACAAGGUA